UAAUAAGAAAUCUAAGGGCGUACGGUGGAUGCCUAGACUGAAAGAAGCGAUGAAGGGCGUGGCGUGUCUGCGAUAAGCUUCGGGGAGGUGACUAGCAACCUUUGAUCCGGAGAUUUCCGAAUGGGGAAACCCUCUGCCUUUGGCAGAACUUAUUUAUUUAUUAAAUGAGAGCGUACCCGCUGAAGUGAAACAUCUCAGUAAGCGGAGGAAAAGAGAACAACAUAAUAGUACUCACAUUGCAUUACAUAUAGUUUGCGAUGCAGUGCGAGUACUUGUGAUUUCCUAAGUAGCGGCGAGCGAAAAGGAAGAAGCCCAAACCUCACACUUCGGUGUGGGGGGUUGUAAGGUAACAGUUUCAUCUUUAUGAUGAGAAGAGUCAAAAAAUAUUUUGUUAAUUGAAUUUGCUGGGAAGCAAAACCCAAGAGCGUUAAAGUCGCGUAAGUGAAAACAAAGUAUCUCUUUUAUUGUUAUUCUUGAGUAGCCCAAGACACGAAUAGCUUGGGUGAAUCUGCCGGAACUAACCGGUAAGGCUAAAUAUUCUUUCAGAUCGAUAGUGAACUAGUACCGUGAGGGAAAGGUGAAAAAUACCCCGGUGAGGGGAGUGAAAUAGAUCUGAAACCGUAUGUCUACAAGGAGUCGGAGUGGUGCUUGCACCACGACGGCGUGCCUAUUGAAGAAUGAGCCAACGAGUUCAUAUAUACUGCGUGGCUAACUGCGUAAAAUGCAGGAAGUCGUAGGGAAACCGAGUGUGAAUAGCGCGACAUUUUGUAGUAUGUAUGAGACCCGAAGCCAGAUGAGCUUGCCAUGGACAGGGUGAACGCUUGCGAAAGUGAGCAGGAGGCCCGAACCGGUUGGUCGUACAAUUCCAUCGGAUGAUCUGUGGUAAGAAGUGAAAAGCUAAUCGAAUCUGGUAAUAGCUGGUUCUCUCCGAAAUAGCUUUAGGGUUAGCGUUCGGUUUACCUUUUGGGGGUAGAGCACUGGAAGGCGUAAAUAGGGAGAAAUCUCGUUAUGCCUAUCAAACUCCGAAUACCAAGAGUCAAAUACCGAGCAGUUAGACUGUGGGGGCUAAGCUCCACUGGUCGAAAGGGAAACAGCCCAGAUCUCAAGUUAAGGUCCCUAAAUUUACAUUAAGUGCACUUAAGGAUGUGAGAUUUCUCUGACAAUGAGGAUGUUGGCUUAGAAGCAGCCACCAUUUAAAGAAAGCGUAACAGCUCACUCAUUCAGAGGUUUUGCGCCGCAGAUUAUCGGGGCUAAAUGUAAUACCGAAACUGAGGGCUUCUUAUUCAUUCGUGAGUAAGGAGCGGUAGGAGAGCAUUCCAUUCUGCGAUGAAGCCAAAGGGGUAACCCAUGGUGGAGCGUAUGGAAGUGAGAAUGUUGGCACAAGUAACCGCAAUCUCGUUGAGAAUACGGGACGCCGAAAAACCAAGGUUUCCUUGGCGAUGUUAAUCAGCCAAGGGUUAGUCGGGCCUAAGCGGAUGGUGAAAACCGUACGCGAUGGACACAUGGUUAAUAUUCCAUGACUUUCUUUUUAUGCGAUGGGGGGACGGAGUGUAGUAUGUCGAGCGUAUUAUUUGGAUUUACGUUUGUGGUGUGAGGAUGCUCUUUUGGAAAAUCCGGAGAGUAAAUUUUAGCACAGUAAAAAUUUUGCGGCCUCGGCCAAUGAAAAUUUGACAAAGCACACUUCCAAGAAAAGCCUCUAAGCUUCAGUAAAAAGAAAACCGUACCGCAAACCGACACAGGUGGUUAGGUCGAGAAGACCUAGGCGAACGAGUGAGUGUUCCUCAAGGAACUCGGCAAACAAGCGACCGUAACUUCGGAAUAAGGUCUGCCCCUGCUUUUUGCAGGGGCCGCAGCGAAAGUUUUCCGGGCAACUGUUUAUCAAAAACACAGCUCCCUGCGAACUCGCAAGAGGAUGUAUAGGGGGUGACGCCUGACCAAUGCCAGAAGGUUAAGCACGAAGGGUACGCAUCAUAUUGCACAUGAUUUAGUCGUGUUCAGUAUGAUGCGUGCUGGGUUGUGUAAGCCCUGGUGAAUGUCGGCCGUAACUAUAAGUCGUUGUAGUUACGCCAAAAAAUCUUGCUAUAUGCGGGAAACUCUGACCAAAAACAUUCUUAGGAUGUUUUUAAAGUAUCUGAUAGUACUCAUCAAAAUCGAAUUGAUAGUAACAAUCUAUUCAGUGCAGACAAUCCGCAGGAAAGAUUCUGUUUUUAACACAUUAUAUUAUGGAUGAUCAUAAAAAAUGGUUAAAUGAUUUCGACCAAAGCCUCGGAAACUACAUUGCUGGUUUCGUAGAUGGUGAAGGUAGCUUUAACGUAUCGUUAAAGAAGAGAAAAGAUUAUAAAAAUGACUGGAAAUUACAUCCGUCAUUUAAUAUUUCUCAAAAAGAUCGUGUUAUUUUAGCUCUUUUUAAAAAAGAACUAGGAUGUGGAACUUUAAGAGAAAGAAAAGAUGGUGUUGUUUACUACGAAGUAGUAAACAUAGAAAUGUUACAAAAAAGGAUAAUUCCUUUUUUUAAGAGAUUUCAUUUUUUAUCUGCUAAUAAAAAGAGAAAUUUUUCUAUUUUUCUGCAAAUAAUCGAUCUUAUUUAUAAGAAAGAGCAUUUACAAAAAAGCGGUUUUAGGAAAAUCUUAGAACUAAGAGAAAGGUUAAAUCUUGGAGCGGGUAGAACAAGAAAAUAUAACAUUGGAGACAUUAUUAAAAAAUAAAACAGAAAAUCCUCACAGACUAUACGCAAGACAUCUUAUAAUUCGAAUAAUUGCCGACUGAAUUGUAAGUAAAGAUAUAGUCGAGUCCUUAUGGCAACAUAAGGUCAGUACACUAGUUGAAAUGUGUAUUGAGUAAAAUAUCAACAAACGGUCCUAAGGUAGCGAAUUUCCUUGUCUGGUAAGAAGUUGCCAGUUACGACAGUGAUGUCGUGAGCAAAACCGGCUAAUAACGGUGAAGUCCUCGUUGGAGUGCUAUUAACAAGAAUAGCGCCAUGAAGACAGGAUAAUACCGUGGGAAGUCGUCCAUUUUAAAUGGAUUGACCCCGUAUCGACUGAAGUCGCUGAAAAGCGAUGGAGAUAGCAAAUGCUCAAGUACAAGAUACUUGAAUCACAUUGCUAUAACACGCCGGCUCCACAUAAGUGGAUGAAGAUAUAGUCAGUGCUAUUAGAAAUAAUAGAUAAACAUGAAGUUCAGACGUGCACGAAUGGCGUAAUGACCUGGAAACUGUCUCGAGGAACAGCUCGGUGAAAAUGCAAUACCGGUGAAGACGCCGGUUACCUGCAGCUAGACGAAAAGACCCCGGGAGCUUUACUGUAGCUUCGUAUUGGGCCUGCGAUUUAAUUGCAUAGCAUAGGUGGGAGACUUUGAUAUUUACCUUUUGGGGUAAGUGGAGUCGUCAGUGAAAUACCACUCUGUUGAAUUUCAGGUUCUAACCACGACGGCAAAAACGGCGUGGAACAGUGCGUGGCAGGCAGUUUUAGUGGGGCGCUAUCCUCCUAAAAAGUAACGGAGGAGUUUAUUAAGGUCAACUAGGCGCGAAUGGAAACCGUGCCGAUAGUGUAAUGGCACAAGUUGGCUUAACUGCGAGACGUACAUGUCGAGCAGAUGCGAAAGCAGAACAUAGUGAACCGAUGGUCCGCAUUAGAUGCGGCCAGAGAUUAACGGAUAAAAGCUACCCCGGGGAUAACAGGCUGGUUCCGCCCAAGAGUUCAUAUCGACGGCGGAGUUCGGCACCUCGAUGUCGGCUCAACUUAUCCUGGUGCUGGAGAAGGUGCCAAGGGUUUGGCUGUUCGCCAAUUAAAAAGUUACGCGAGCUGGGUUCAGACCGUUUAGGAGUGAAUUUAAUAUUGACUUCUAAACAAAUCUGAAUCAAUACAAUCGAUUUUAGUUAUCUUCUUUUCGUUUAAGGAAGAAAUAUAAAAUUUUAAAGAAUUUUAAACCAAUCAAAUCACGGCGGUCACUUCAUUUAAUGAAGUAGAAAAAGUCGGAGUUAUCGGUAAAAUCCCUGUAUAUUUUUAAUGGGACAAUACCGAGAGGAUGCAAAUCCUUGUAGAGACUACAAACCGACCUCUUGCAGAAUAUUAUUUUGUUAAGAGAAUGUAUAGUCCGUGCUAUUGGUAACAGUAGAUAACAUGCGUGAGACAGGUUGGUCUCCUAUCUGCUGCAGGCGUUGAUUUUUGAGAAGAUCUCUCUCUAGUACGAGAGGACCGAGAGGGACUGACCUCUGGUGUACCAGCUGUUCCGCCAGGAGCAUCGCUGGGUAGCUAUGUCGGGAAUGGAUAACCGCUGAAAGCAUCUAAGUGGGAAGCCAACUUCAAGAUUAGAAAUCAUAGAUCCCUAGGAGAUGACUAGGUUGAUAGGCCUUAGGUGUAAGUACAGCAAUGUAUUUAGCCGAGAGGUACUAAUUCAUCGUCUCUUAUUAGG
rnacentral:rRNA from 1 species